UUUAACGGCUGCUCCUCCCUAACAAACGCUCUGCUGCUUUACUCUACGUCUGCAGGAACAUGCCAAUCACUGAGAGCGUUCUUUGAUUCAAUGCACCGUGUGAUUGAUCCGCCACCACAACAACAGCAGCUUGUUUCGUGCUGUUCAACGUUCGGAGACGCCACUAAAAAAAGACAUCGGCUGAACUACACACCUGCUGGUCCUAGAGUUUACAAGUCCUGUCUUCUCAACAUGACGCAGAGCAACUGUGGAUAACUUCAGGAAGCAGAGGAGCGAGUGUUUUUCAAGACUUCCUGAGGAUAUCAGGGCGAACAUCUGAAAAAGACACUGAGCUCCGAGCCCAGAACGGGGGAUCGACUUCCUGUCAUCGGAGGAAGUGAUGAUUAUCUGCAUCCUGUCAGGCUCCCUGAGCAUCGCACCAGGUAAAGCUACUUCCCAAAUCCCCGUCAUUGUCUCACAGAGUUCCCGUGUAGGACAGGGAUUAGGAGACGA